AAUCGACAUUUCUAAACAACCAAUUCUUACACGAACUCCUUUUCGCACAUAUUUUUUUAAUAAUUCUAAACAAAAUCGUCGCUUUCCGUAAACUUUAAAAAUUUUUUCACUUAUACGUGUGGGGAGGGGGGAAGGGAGCUUCAGAAGUCGACGUGCAGCGGAGGAAUUGCUUGGAACUGGACCUAGUGAUUUCUUUGGCUGGAAGUUUGAUUUACGACCCCUCGCCGAAUCAGUCGCACCAGAUAACUCUAAAAUGGUGACGCCACAAGAAAAGUCUUUUUGUGUGCUGCAGUUUGAGAAAUGCAAAUCGAUUGUGCAAGUGCAAUGUGAAUUUCACUGCCAAUUCAAUGAAAAUCCACCUCGCCACAAGCAAAUUUACGAAUGGCAUAAAAAUUUCACAGAAAAAGCACUGGUGCUCGUGGUGCUCACGGGACUGGAUGCUUUGGAGGGAGCUGGCCAGGCAGAAGACUACACCAGGCUUCACUGUCAGUUUUGGCAGGGUUUUUACAGCUGGAUGCCCUUCCUAUCACCAACCAUCUUACAGAGUGGACUAAGUGCUUCCUACGUGGCACCAACUGGCAUUUGACUGCAGCCAUGCUGGAGCACCACCUUUAGUCAAACAAAUCGACCCCAGGACUCAUUCUUUGAACACAUAUCUCUGGAUUUAAUGAACUUAGAACAAGACUUCAGGGAAAUUUGACUGCAGUUUCUGAAAGAUCAUAGAUCCUGCCUUGGGAAGACCCUGCAAGUGAGAGGAGGUAAUAAAAGAGACUAUCUGGAGCAGAAUUAAUUAAAUAAUUAAUUGAUUAAUUUUAAAACUGUUUAUUUUUAUAGUUGGUUUCCCUGAUUUAUUUAUUGGAACCAAUGUUUGUCUUUUACAGCUGAAUAAAUCUCCUUCCAACCAUGAAAUUGUUGUUGAUGCUUAGCCCCCAGUCAGCUCUGAUCAAAUAGAUCUAUAAUUAAAGGCACUUCCAAAGUUGGUCAUCCUAUCUUAUUUUCAGACAAUUUCUUCACAAUUUUAUUAUCUACUACCUCCUUUUUUUUCUCCUCAAGACAUCAUGGGUCUUUUUCUGUGUUCUUUUUUACUUUGUUUCUUUCCUGUUAUAUUCCAAUGAAAUUCUAU